GGGUAGCUGGCCAGGCUCUGCUGAGCGAGAAGUCCCCUUCUCCCUCACCACUUCCGAUGUGCGUCCCUCCUUAAGGCUGUGCUCGGUUGAAGAGGACAGCCUUUCCCCGAAUAGAGACAGACAGGUCUUAGGUUGAGGGUAUACGAGUAGCUACGCUCCCCUGCUAGAACCUCCAAACAAGUAUAUAUCUAACAGGAAGAAAUAUAUAACAGGGGCUAAGCACUUGCUUUGCAUAGGGUCAACCCCAGUUUGAUCCCUUGCGC
rnacentral:snRNA from 1 species